UGGGGAAUAUUGGACAAUGGGCGAAAGCCUGAUCCAGCCAUGCCGCGUGUGUGAAGAAGGUCUUCGGAUUGUAAAGCACUUUAAGUUGGGAGGAAGGGCAUUAACCUAAUACGUUAGUGUUUUGACGUUACCGACAGAAUAAGCACCGGCUAACUCUGUGCCAGCAGCCGCGGUAAUACAGAGGGUGCAAGCGUUAAUCGGAAUUACUGGGCGUAAAGCGCGCGUAGGUGGUUUGGUAAGUUGGAUGUGAAAUCCCCGGGCUCAACCUGGGAACUGCAUUCAAAACUGACUGACUAGAGUAUGGUAGAGGGUGGUGGAAUUUCCUGUGUAGCGGUGAAAUGCGUAGAUAUAGGAAGGAACACCAGUGGCGAAGGCGACCACCUGGACUAAUACUGACACUGAGGUGCGAAAGCGUGGGGAGCAAACA
rnacentral:rRNA from 1 species